rnacentral:tRNA from 1 species
GGGCCCAUAGCUCAGUUGGUUAGAGCAGUCGGCUCAUAACCGAAAGGUCCCAGGUUCGAGUCCUGGUGGGCCCA